UCUCUCGUAGCCUAGUUGGUCAGAGCAUUGGUGCGUAAAUCCAAAGGUCCCGGGUUCGAUUCCCUGCGGGGGGU
rnacentral:tRNA from 1 species